AGCGCUUUCAGCAGCUAGCAACGCAUAGCGAAGAGGUGCUGGGAUCUCGUGAGGAGAGAGGGCUUUUCCCAGUGCCCGGACAGUGUGCUCAGUCUGCAGAGAUGCCAGCCAGACAACUUAACACCUGCCAGAAGGACAGAGGGGGCCUGAGGCUCCUUUUCCGGCUGCUUCCCAUCCUGUUCACUCUUGGCUACUGGUGCGGUGCGACGAUGUGGCUCAAGGAUGUGUUGUGGG